UAGAAGUUUUUUAUUUUGCUCAGGAUGAACGCUGGCGGCGUGCUAAUACAUGCAAGUCGAACGCUUUGUGGUUCAACUGAUUUGAAGAGCUUGCUCAGAUAUGACGAUGGACAUUGCAAAGAGUGGCGAACGGGUGAGUAACACGUGGGAAACCUACCUCUUAGCAGGGGAUAACAUUUGGAAACAGAUGCUAAUACCGUAUAACAAUAGCAACCGCAUGGUUGCUACUUAAAAGAUGGUUCUGCUAUCACUAAGAGAUGGUCCCGCGGUGCAUUAGUUAGUUGGUGAGGUAAUGGCUCACCAAGACGAUGAUGCAUAGCCGAGUUGAGAGACUGAUCGGCCACAAUGGGACUGAGACACGGCCCAUACUCCUACGGGAGGCAGCAGUAGGGAAUCUUCCACAAUGGGCGAAAGCCUGAUGGAGCAACGCCGCGUGUGUGAUGAAGGGUUUCGGCUCGUAAAACACUGUUGUAAGAGAAGAAUGACAUUGAGAGUAACUGUUCAAUGUGUGACGGUAUCUUACCAGAAAGGAACGGCUAAAUACGUGCCAGCAGCCGCGGUAAUACGUAUGUUCCAAGCGUUAUCCGGAUUUAUUGGGCGUAAAGCGAGCGCAGACGGUUAUUUAAGUCUGAAGUGAAAGCCCUCAGCUCAACUGAGGAAUUGCUUUGGAAACUGGAUGACUUGAGUGCAGUAGAGGAAAGUGGAACUCCAUGUGUAGCGGUGAAAUGCGUAGAUAUAUGGAAGAACACCAGUGGCGAAGGCGGCUUUCUGGACUGUAACUGACGUUGAGGCUCGAAAGUGUGGGUAGCAAACAGGAUUAGAUACCCUGGUAGUCCACACCGUAAACGAUGAGUGCUAGGUGUUUGAGGGUUUCCGCCCUUAAGUGCCGCAGCUAACGCAUAAGCACU
rnacentral:rRNA from 1 species